rnacentral:tRNA from 1 species
GGGUAUAGUUCAAUCGGUAGAGCGACAGUCUCCAAAACUGUAAGUUGAGGGUUCAAGUCCUUCUGCCC